rnacentral:rRNA from 1 species
UACGUAGGGCGCGAGCGUUGUCCGGAAUUACUGGGCGUAAAGAGCUUGUAGGUGGUUUGUCGCGUUGUUCGUGAAAUCUCACGGCUUAACUGUGAGCGUGCGGGCGAUACGGGCAGACUAGAGUACUGCAGGGGAGACUGGAAUUCCUGGUGUAGCGGUGGAAUGCGCAGAUAUCAGGAGGAACACCGGUGGCGAAGGCGGGUCUCUGGGCAGUAACUGACGCUGAGAAGCGAAAGCGUGGGGAGCGAACAGG